GAGUUUGAUCGUGGCUCAGGACGAACGCUGGCGGCAUGCCUAAUACAUGCAAGUCGAACGAGGUUUCCUUAAUGAUGGUUGGUGCUUGCAUCAACUUGACUUAAGAUCUAACCGAGUGGCGAACUGGUGAGUAACACGUGGGGAACCUGCCCUUAAGUAGGGGAUAACAUUUGGAAACAAAUGCUAAUACCGUAUAACAACAUAAACCACAUGGUUUAUGCUUGAAAGAUGGCUCUGCUAUCGCUUUUGGAUGGACCCGCGGCGUAUUAGCUAGUUGGUGAGAUAAUGGCUCACCAAGGCGAUGAUACGUAGCCGACCUGAGAGGGCAAUCGGCCACAUUGGAACUGAGACACGGUCCAGACUCCUACGGGAGGCAGCAGUAGGGAAUCUUUCACAAUGGGGGAAACCCUGAUGCAGCGACGCCGCGUGAGUGAAGAAGUAUUUCGGUAUGUAAAGCUCUAUCAGCAGGGAAGAAAAUGACGGUACCUGAUUAAGAAGAC
rnacentral:rRNA from 1 species